CGGGGUUGGAUAAGCAGAAGGUAGAGAGACGAAAAAAAGAGGAGAGCGCGGUUGGUCUAGAAGCCACGUAAUGAAGUGGUAACGAAGCUGUUAAUUGUUGAAGAGUUUUAAGAAACACGAGAAGUUUAAUUGUGAAUAAGUUAUGGAGUGUGAGUGAAGUGAGUCUGAGCCAAGUUGAAGUCCACGGGGAGUUGCUGACGCCAGGAGGACGCUAUCGCUAAGCUAAGUAAGCUAACAUGGAGCGCUGUCAUAGUGUGAGGGAGGACGGUUGGAGUUUUCUGGAUGGGGACAUCGCCUUCGUUGUUCUUUCGUUAUCAUCGUUUGGAUUACCUGCCGUUGGGAUGGGACCGAGACUGAAACCGCCACUUGCUUUCACCUUCAUGGUCUGAUAUGAUCCAUGGUCCUCCCCACCCUGGGAUUGUGGGUGUUAGAGGGAGAGCAAGACAAGUCGGGAUGUUCACUUUCAAGUCCUACUGUGUGACCAAUCAUCUAACCUGUCAACAGAAGGAGUAUACGGCGUGCCUCCUAUACCACCUGGAAAACUGUCUCCCUGUUCUGAAAGUCAAAACCCUGCAGUAAUAAUAUUCUGAUGGCGAGCCAGAGCCCGGGCCCGAGGAAUGUGGAGCAGAAAACCAGCUUACAUUCGUGGAGGGUAUGACGUCGGAAGCAGCUUCAUCGAGCAUCUGGAGAAAGCACAUCUAUCACAUCAUACAGAUAAGAAACAAAAUCACACUACCCGGGUAGAUGAACAACCAUACAUUGAAGGACUAAUACACACACACACACACACACACUGAUUUCGGACAAACUGUGGACACUGACUUAUGGUUGACUUUAUUUCUUGACUUUAUUGGACUUUGCUUGUUUAUUACUUUGGGCCUGUUUCUUCUAUUUUAAUUGCACUUUGAACAACAUUCAUAUUGUAAAAUUGUUUGUUGUUGUUUACAACUGAGGUUGUUUAUUGGUGAAUUCUAAAUUGAUAACUGUUUUUUGAUAUAUAAAGAAAUAUAAAUUCAGUCAUAGCUGAACUAUUUAAUUUGUUGCAAUGGAAGAGUGGCUUCCUGCCAGUAAAGAAUAUUUUUGUUACUCUUUUUUCUAACUGUUGUCCAUGUGCAAUAGACAGUGUUACAUCCGUUACAUUUAGAAAAAAAAAAAACACAUUUCAUGUUAUUAGAUAUUUCAUAUGAUUUACUAUAUGGUGCUGAAGCUGGAGUAAAAAGGCAUUAUACAUUAAAAGCCUCUUGACCUUCCUGCAGGGACAGUUUUGCUCGAUGGCCAUUUUAUAAGGUACACCUGCUCAACUACUUUGCAAAUGUCUAAUCGGCUAUUGGCACAGUAGCAAUCCAGUGCAAAACAGGCCAUUACAUAAGCUAUGUUUUCAUGUGCAAAGGUUCUUCAUUCUGUAAAGAUUUGUUCCAAUUGGAAUUUAAAAUUCCAUCGUUUACAUGUUGCAAAAUUAAAUGAUCCGAUUGCAGUUGGGUACACGUGCAUCAACUGUCGGAAUGGACUGUUUUUUACAUGGGCUGUCAUUAUUCUUUUUUGGAAUGGAAAUAAAGCAGUAAGAAAAUGAAAUGUUAUGUCACGU